rnacentral:rRNA from 1 species
UACGUAGGGUGCGAGCGUUGUCCGGAAUUAUUGGGCGUAAAGAGCUUGUAGGCGGUUUGUCGCGUCUGCUGUGAAAAUCCGGGGCUCAACCCCGGACUUGCAGUGGGUACGGGCAGACUAGAGUGUGGUAGGGGAGACUGGAAUUCCUGGUGUAGCGGUGGAAUGCGCAGAUAUCAGGAGGAACACCCGUGGCGAAGGCGGGCUC